AGAGUUUGAUCCUGGCUCAGGAUGAACGCUAGCUACAGGCUUAACACAUGCAAGUCGAGGGGUAACGUGAGGAAAGCUUGCUUUCCUUGACGACGACCGGCGCACGGGUGAGUAACGCGUAUCCAACCUGCCCCAGAGUCAGGGAUAACCUUCCGAAAGGGAGCCUAAUACCUGAUGUAGUGCGAUGAUGGCAUCAGAGUUUCACUAAAGAUUUAUCGCUCUGGGAUGGGGAUGCGUCUGAUUAGGUUGUUGGCGGGGUAACGGCCCACCAAGCCUGCGAUCAGUAGGGGUUCUGAGAGGAAGGUCCCCCACAUUGGUACUGAGACACGGACCAAACUCCUACGGGAGGCAGCAGUGAGGAAUAUUGGUCAAUGGGCGCGAGCCUGAACCAGCCAAGUAGCGUGCAGGAAGACUGCCCUAUGGGUUGUAAACUGCUUUUAUAGGGGAAUAAAGUGAGGUAUGCAUACCUUUUUGUAUGUACCCUAUGAAUAAGGACCGGCUAAUUCCGUGCCAGCAGCCGCGGUAAUACGGAAGGUCCGGGCGUUAUCCGGAUUUAUUGGGUUUAAAGGGAGCGCAGGCGGGAGGAUAAGCGUGUUGUGAAAUGUACCGGCUCAACCGGUGAUGUGCAGCGCGAACUGUUUUCCUUGAGUGAGUACGACGUCAGCGGAAUUCGUGGUGUAGCGGUGAAAUGCUUAGAUAUCACGAAGAACCCCGAUUGCGAAGGCAGCUGACGAGUCCUUAACUGACGCUAAAGCUCGAAAGUGCGGGUAUCGAACAGGAUUAGAUACCCUGGUAGUCCGCACGGUAAACGAU
rnacentral:rRNA from 1 species